rnacentral:rRNA from 1 species
AUUGAACGCUGGCGGCGUGCCUAACACAUGCAAGUCGAGCGGUAACAGGUGUAGCAAUACAUGCUGACGAGCGGCGGACGGGUGAGUAACGCUUGGGAAUCUGCCUGUUAGUGGGGGACAACCCGGGGAAACUCGGGCUAAUACCGCAUACGCACUACGGUGGAAAGCCGGGGACCGCAAGGCCUGGCGCUAACAGAUGAGCCCAAGUCGGAUUAGCUAGUUGGUAGGGUAACGGCCACCAAGGCGACGAUCCGUAACUGGUCUGAGAGGACGACCAGUCACACCGGAACUGAGACACGGUCCGGACUCCUACGGGAGGCAGCAGUGGGGAAUAUUGGACAAUGGCGAAAGCCUGAUCCAGCGACGCCGCGUGGGUGAAGAAGGCCUGCGGGUUGUAAAG